UACGUAGGGGGCAAGCGUUGUCCGGAUUUAUUGGGCGUAAAGAGCGUGUAGGUGGCCAAGCAGGUCCGCUGUGAAAACUCGAGGCUCAACCUCGAGAGGUCGGUGGAAACCGUUUGGCUAGAGUCCGGAAGAGGAGAGUGGAAUUCCCGGUGUAGCGGUGAAAUGCGCAGAUAUCGGGAAGAACACCCGUGGCGAAGGCGGCUCUCUGGGACGGUACUGACGCUGAGACGCGAAAGCGUGGGGAGCGAACAGG
rnacentral:rRNA from 1 species